rnacentral:rRNA from 1 species
UACAGAGGGGGCAAGCGUUAUUCGGAAUUAUUGGGCGUAAAGGGCGCGUAGGCGGCUUUGCAAGUGACGGGUGAAAUCCCUCGGCUUAACCGAGGAACUGCCUGUCAGACUGUAAGGCUUGAGACCGGGAGAGGUGAGUGGAAUUCCCAGUGUAGCGGUGAAAAGCGUAGAUAUUGGGAGGAACACCAGUGGCGAAGGCGGCUCACUGGACCGGUACUGACGCUGAGGCGCGAAAGCCAGGGGAGCGAACGGG